rnacentral:siRNA from 1 species
GCCGGACCGAUGUGGAUCGGG